CUACUAGGAUUCCCCCAGUAACUGCGAGUGAAGAGGGAAGAGCUCAUCAUUGGAAUCUGGCAGUGUUGCACUGUCCGAGUUGUAGAUGAGGAGUAGUCCGUCUGGACUGCAUGGCGUCCAAGUACAAUAGGCCGUCAGUGGGACAUCAUAGAGGGUGACAAUCCCGUCCUUGACGCCAAUGUGCAAGUCUAUUACGAUGGCUAUCUCAGAGAGUCGAGCAGUUUGGGAUUUGCUGCUUAAACAUGGGAGGUAGAUUCCUUCUAAAGCUAAAUACAGGCGAGAGACCGAUAGAGAACAAGUACCGCAAGGGAAAGAUGAAAUAGCACUCUGUGAAGGGAGUCAAAAGGCGUGAAAUUGUUGCGAGAGAAGCGAUUCAAGUCAGCGUAGCUAGGCCCAUCAAGCGUCUUCGCUUUGGACUAGCUUUGCCAGCGGUCUUGUCCCUUGAAGAGACUUGACUUGUAAUAUGUCCAGCCUGGCGUGCACAGGCAGCCCCUUCUGGGGGCCAGUGGCAUGGCUGGUGGAAUGGCUUGCAAUCGACCCGUCUUGAAACACGGACCAAGGAGUCUAACAUGUAUGCGAGUAUAAGGGUGGCAAACCCGUAUGCGCAAUGAAAGUGAUUUUCGGUGAUUGAGAAUGGCCUGAUGACCAGACAAGCAA
rnacentral:rRNA from 1 species